CACGUAGGGUGCGAGCGUUGUCCGGAAUUAUUGGGCGUAAAGAGCUCGUAGGCGGUGUGUCGCGUCGGCCGUGAAAACCUGCAGCUUAACUGUGGGCUUGCGGUCGAUACGGGCAUCACUGGAGUUCGGCAGGGGAGACUGGAAUUCCUGGGUGUAGCGGUGAAAUGGCGCAGAUAUCAGGAGGAACACCGGGUGGGCGAAGGCGGGGUCUCUGGGCCGAUACUGACGCUGGAGGAGCGAAAGGCGUGGGGAGCAAACAGG
rnacentral:rRNA from 1 species